rnacentral:misc_RNA from 1 species
GGAAGUAAAGGUCGUAACAAGGUUUCCGUAGGUGAACCUGCGGAAGGAUCAUUAUUGUAUAGCCGAGGGGCGAGGGCUGUCGCUGACCCGAAAGGUCGUGCACGCCCGAGUGCCCUCACACACAUCCAUCUCACCCCUAUGUGCACCACCGCGUGGGUCCCCCUUUGGCUUGUUCGGAGGGGGGCUUACGUUUUCACACAAACUUUGUAUGCAGUGUAGAAUGUAUUUUUUGUUUUUGCGAUCACGCAAUCAAUACAACUUUCAACAACGGAUCUCUUGGCUCUC